AGGGACGAUGCGCGCAGGAUGCGCCAUGUGACUCAUGGACGAUUCAGGGACGAUCGGGGAUGUUCCGCCAGGAUGGCGGAGGUAGUCAGGGAUGUCAGAAUCAGUCUGCAAGACCCCGCUUUGCGGGGUUUU
rnacentral:sRNA from 4 species